rnacentral:rRNA from 1 species
CCCCUUCGGGGGCGAGUACAGCGGCGGACGGGUGAGUAACACGUGAGCGAUCCACCUCGAGGCGGGGGACAACCCAGGGAAACCUGGGCUAAUACCGCAUACAGCGGCAGGCAUGGAAGCCUGUCGUGAAAGCUGGCCUCUCCAUGGAAGCUAGCGCCUCUGGACGAGCUCGCGGCCUAUCAGCUGGUUGGUGAGGUAACGGCUCACCAAGGCGAUGACGGGUAGCUGGCGUGAGAGCGCGAUCAGCCACACUGGGACUGAGACACGGCCCAGACUCCUACGGGAGGCAGCAGUGGGGAAUCUUGCGCAAUGGGCGAAAGCCUGACGCAGCGACGCCGCGUGGGGGAGGAAGGCCCUAGGGUUGUAAACCCCUGUCAGGUGGGACGAACCGGGGAUCGGCGAAAGCCGGUUCCUCUGACGGUACCACCAGAGGAAGCUCCGGCUAACUCCGUGCCAGCAGCCGCGGUAAAACGGAGGGAGCAAGCGUUGUUCGGAAUUACUGGGCGUAAAGCGCACGUAGGCGGCCUGGUAAGUCUCACUGUGAAAGCCCGGGGCUCAACCCCGGGAGGCCAGGGGAUACUGCAAGGCUGGAGACAGGUAGAGGCUGGUAGAAUUCCGGGUGUAGCGGUGGAAUGCGUAGAGAUCCGGAGGAAUACCUGAGGCGAAGGCGGCCAGCUGGGCCUGAUCUGACGCUGAGGUGCGAAAGCGUGGGGAGCGAACAGGA